rnacentral:rRNA from 1 species
AACGAACGCUGGCGGCAGGCCUAACACAUGCAAGUCGAACGAAAUUAUGGUUUUCGGAUUAUAAUUUAGUGGCGGACGGGUGCGUAACACGUGGGAAUCUACCUUAUAGUGUGGGAUAACUUCUGGAAACGGGAGCUAAUACCGCAUACGCCCUUUGGGGGAAAGAUUUAUCGCUAUAAGAUGAGCCCGCGUUGGAUUAGGUAGUUGGUGGGGUAAGAGCCCACCAAGCCGAUGAUCCAUAGCUGGUUUGAGAGGAUGACCAGCCACACUGGGACUGAGACACGGCCCAGACUCCUACGGGAGGCAGCAGUGGGGAAUCUUAGACAAUGGGGGCAACCCUGAUCUAGCCAUGCCGCGUGAGUGAAGAAGGCCUUAGGGUUGUAAAGCUCUUUCACCUGUGAGGAUGAUGACAGUAGCAGGAUAAGAAGGACCGGCUAACUCCG